UUCUGGAUUGGGCUUCAGGAAGCCCAAAGCUCCUCAUGGCUUUUGGCAUGGGAGAUGUAUGUUUCUUUUAGGGUGUAGUCAGUAAAGGCAUUGGGCCUAAGGGGCCUUUAAGGCCCAAUACCAACCAAGAGAAAGGGAAGGAGGUCAGUGCGCUCAAUCAAGUUUCUUCGUUCCAAAAUCAAACUAUAUUCCUGAGAACAAAACCUCCUUGAGCCACAACUCCGCCGUGCCAGGAAUCGUCCCUGAAGGCGGCGGAGGUGCAUCCACCAUCAAUCCUACAUCAUUGGAACCGUCUCUCCACCCUCGUUCACAAUAUAGCCUUGUCUUUCUCUAAAUCCUCCCCCAGAGUUUGAAUCGAAGAUGAAAAUGUAUGAACCCUAACUUCUCAGAUCCAAAUUAAAUGCGAACUACAACUAAUUUCGACCUCAGAAAUUAGGGCUAAGGCUUCUCCAUGCCAAUUCUAUCAUCUAAAAUGAAAAACUGACGAAAUCAAGAGAGAAGAGAUCCUACCUUCGAAGCAGUGAGUUGCUCCGGUCAAGAUUGAAAAUCUUGAAGACGAAGAUGACAAGAAAUCUAGAGGCGUUUCAAAUACGCCAUGACAUGAUGUAGUUCUUAUGAACAUGUCUAUAAAUGCACGAUGCAUUGAGGUCUAGUUAUGAUGCAAGUUUGACUAUGAUAUAACUUCAUGGUUUUUUGGAAAUGCAUAACUUAAAGAAACAUAAAGGCAGGAUGAAUGAAUCUGACUUGGGGACUUGAAGAUCUAUGAAGGAUUUUGGUCAAAAUGGGAUGACUUAGAAAUGGAGGACAAGGAGAAUUAGGGUUCAAGAUAGGUAGUUGACUUUGGGCAACUGUUUGACCAAAAAGUCAAUAGUUGACCAGAAGUCAACCUAGGUCAAAAUUAGGGUUUUCUUGGUGUAAUUUUGUAUGGGCUUGAAAUGGAUGAUUGAAAUGUAAACUUGAUGAUUUGUAAUGAGAAAUGGAUUUUUGAAAUGAAUUGUAACUUAUGUUCCAAGUAA